rnacentral:piRNA from 1 species
GCAUACAAAGGGGAGGAAAAUGA